rnacentral:tRNA from 2 species
UCAGUUGGUAGAGCCCUGGAUUGUGAUUCCAGUUGUCGUGGGUUCGAAUCCCAUUAGCCA